rfam:Triticum aestivum genome assembly, contig: Triticum_aestivum_CS42_TGACv1_scaffold_623603_7DS
CUGAUACUCCCUCCGUUCCAAAUUAGUUGAUCCAUAUUUAUCUAGACAUGAAUAUAUCUAGACACUAAACAAGUAUAGAUAUAUUCGUAUUUAGACAAAUUUAAGUCAAUUAAUUUGAAACGGAGGGAGUAUGUG